rnacentral:rRNA from 1 species
CUACCCUACGGGACGCAGCAGUAGGGAAUUUUCGUCAAUGGGCGCAAGCCUGAACGAGCAAUGCCGCGUGAACGAGGAAGGUCUUCGGAUCGUAAAGUUCUGUUGAAGGGGAAAAAGAGCGGAGAGAGGAAAUGAACUCCGAUUGAUAUUACCCUUCGAGGAAGUCACGGCUAACUACGUGCCAGCAGCCGCGGUAAUACGUAGGUGGCAAGCGUUGUCCGGAUUUACUGGGUGUAAAGGGCGUGCAGCCGGGAGUGCAAGUCAGAUGUGAAAUCCCGCGGCUCAACCGCGGAACUGCAUUUGAA